AACGAACGCUGGCGGCAUGCCUAACACAUGCAAGUCGAACGAGACCUUCGGGUCUAGUGGCGCACGGGUGCGUAACGCGUGGGAACCUGCCCUUAGGUUCGGAAUAACUCCCCGAAAGGGGUGCUAAUACCGGAUAAUGUCUUCGGACCAAAGAUUUAUCGCCUUUGGAUGGGCCCGCGUUGGAUUAGCUAGUUGGUAGGGUAAAAGCCUACCAAGGCGACGAUCCAUAGCUGGUCUGAGAGGAUGAUCAGCCACACUGGGACUGAGACACGGCCCAGACUCCUACGGGAGGCAGCAGUGGGGAAUAUUGGACACUGGGCGAAAGCCUGAUCCAGCAAUGCCGCGUGAGUGGUGAAGGCCUUAGGGUUGUAAAGCUCUUUUACCCGGGAUGAUAAUGACAGUACCGGGAGAAUAAGCGCCGGCUAACUCCGUG
rnacentral:rRNA from 1 species